GUUUUCUACUUGGUGUUAGCUCUACUUACUUGAGUCUUUCGACUAAUCUGAGGAUCGUUGAACUACAGGUUGAUAUUUAGUGAUGGCUGACAGUCACGAUAAUGAUAAGAAUAUCGAGAUAUGGAAGAUCAAGAAACUUAUAAAGGCACUCGAAGCUGCUCGAGGCAAUGGUACCAGCAUGAUUUCUCUAAUCAUGCCUCCACGGGAUCAAGUAUCUAGGGUCACUAAGAUGCUUGGAGAUGAGUUUGGAACUGCGUCAAACAUCAAAAGUAGAGUGAAUCGUCAAUCUGUGCUGGGUGCAAUCACAUCUGCUCAGCAGAGACUUAAACUCUACAAUAAGGUUCCACCAAACGGGCUUGUGCUUUAUACCGGAACAAUCAUAACUGAAGAUGGGAAAGAGAAGAAGGUUACAAUUGAUUUUGAGCCCUUCAGGCCCAUUAACGCUUCUCUAUAUCUUUGUGAUAACAAGUUCCAU
rnacentral:misc_RNA from 1 species